rnacentral:tRNA from 1 species
GAGGGGUGGCAGAGUGGUUGAAUGCGGCGGUCUCGAAAACCGUUUAGCGGGUGUUCCCCGCUACGAGGGUUCGAAUCCCUCCUCCUCC